GACAAAGAAAAUCCCUAGUCAAUCCAAAGCGGUUUGGAUCAUACGAGCAAUCCAGUCAGUCAAAAAUAAUAAAAAUCAGUGGGCUGCACUUGUGACUUGUGAGCAUCUUCUUCUCCUUUUCCUAUCUCUCCUCUGCCUCUCACCUACCUUUGUUUUUGUCAUUCUCCGUCCUCCCCCAUGCGGCAGCCGCUACUGGUGAAUGCGCGAGCUCUGAGCAACGAGGAGUUCAAGCUCGAGGCGGCGCGGUUGGUCCGAGAGACGGCUAGUAAAUGAAACAACGGUGUUGCCUCUCGGGAUCAAGCUUGGUGGGGGCUGGAGCUUGAUGAGGAUGUCCCGACGGAUGCAAGCGAUGCAGAUCCCGACCGGCAGCGCCACGGCGGUAGGACCAAGUGGUAGCGUCCCAGUGACUGGAUCCAGUUGCAGAGGCCCAAGGCAUUGGCAAAAUUUGCUACAGUACAUCGAAAUAUUACGGUCUUUGCUGUGAGACAUCCGAAGAUCGUGUAUUUGCUCGUGGACAAUGUAAAAAAAGUGAGAGCGACGGCGGCCGGCCCGAGCCGGGACGGCUCGGCCACGACGGGGCGGCGCCGCCGGCGACGCCCUCCGCGUCGGCGCGGUGCGCGGCGGCGGUGGCGGGCUCGACUUCUUCGCGUCGCGCUCCCACGCCGCCCGCCUUGUCGACCUCGUCACCUCGCCGUGGCCCGCCCACGUCGUCGCGUCCAAGCACGCCGCCUCCUCGUCGCGUGCUCUGCGGCGAGCUGCCCGAACAGCACGUCAUCGGCAUCAUCGAGGAAGCCGCGCACCGCGUCACCAUCUUUGCUUCGUCGGCGGCUUUGUGAAGGGAGGCUCCACUCUCGUCAUGCGGCGCGACGAGCGGAGCCGAUUUGGGGCUGCAGGAAGCAGCCAUCGAGUCGAGCGGUCGCGAGGGAACAAAGCUCACUAGCUUGAGCGGCCACAUGCCGCGUUUCUUUCUUCUCCUCUCUUUUCUUCUCCCGCGGGUGCUGCUCCGCCACGCGUGCGUUGUCGAGGUGAAUGACGAGGUUGUGCGCGUCAACGGGCCACGGCCGGAGCCGAGGAGCACGCCACUGUUCCCGACCACGGUGCAGGUCAGGUAAUGGUGCCCGAGGAGGCCCGUGAGGUCCCUCAUCACGCCGGCCACAUUCCUCCCGCGGCAGCGGCGAGCGGUGGGCGGCGAGGAACGACCCAAGCGACGUGCGAAACGAGGCGAGGAGCUUCCCGUCGGGGGGCAGCACAUCCACCGGGACGCGGUGGCCUGCGAAGGUAGCAGGCCAGCAGCACGCACGCAGGAGGAAGAACCGAAGAAGAUGAACAUAGAAAUAGAGAAAGAGAGAUUGACAAGUGGGCCAUGGGCAAACUUGUCUUUAACCAAUGUUUCUUUCUCCAUUACCACCGAAAAUAAUAAAAUAAUGAGGUGGGUGUUCAGCAACUAAUUACCAUAUUUUU